rnacentral:rRNA from 1 species
GAUGAACGCUGGCGGCAUGCCUAAUACAUGCAAGUCGAACGGGAGGAAGGAAAGCUUGCUUUUCUGAAUCUAGUGGCGAACGGGUGAGUAACACGUAGGGAACCUGCCCAUGUGCCCGGGAUAACUUCUGGAAACGGAUGCUAAAACCGGCUAGGUAGCAGACAAGCAUUUGACUGCUAUUAAAGUGGCUAAGGCCAUGAACAUGGAUGGACCUGCGGUGCAUUAGCUAGUUGGUGAGGUAACGGCCCACCAAGGCGACGAUGCAUAGCCGGCCUGAGAGGGCGGACGGCCACAUUGGGACUGAGACACGGCCCAAACUCCUACGGGAGGCAGCAGUAGGGAAUUUUCGUCAAUGGGGGGAACCCUGAACGAGCAAUGCCGCGUGAGUGAGGAAGGUCUUCGGAUCGUAAAGCUCUGUUGUAAGAGAAAAACGACAUUCAUAGGGAAUGUUGAGUGAGUGAUGGUAUCUUACCAGAAAGUCACGGCUAACUACGUGCCAGCCGCCGCAGUAACAC